rnacentral:misc_RNA from 1 species
GAAAUGCGAUAAGUAAUGUGAAUUGCAGAAGUCCGUGAAUCAGCGAAUCUUUGAACGCACAUUGCGCCCGUUGGUAUUCCAAAGUGCAUGCCUGUUCGAGCGUCAUUUGUACCCUCAAGCUUUGCUUGGUGUUGGGCGUCUUGUCUCCAGUUCGCUGGGGACUCGCCUUAAAGUUAUUGGCAGCCGGCCUACUGGUUUCGGAGCGCAGCACAAGUCGCGCUCUCUUCCAGCCAAGGUCAGCAUCCAAAAAGCCCUUUUUCAACUUUUGACCUCGGAUCAGGUAGGGAUACCCGCUGAACUUAA